rnacentral:piRNA from 1 species
UGACUCUGCCCUGGGAGACAGUAGUG